GACGAACGCUGGCGGCGUGCCUAAUACAUGCAAGUAGAACGCAGUUGCGAACGGGUGAGUAACGCGUAGGUAGCCUGGUAGCGGGUGAUAACUAUUGGAAACGAUAGCUAAUACCGCAUACUACCAGAUGGACUUGCGUUGUAUUAGCUAGUUGGUGAGGUAACGGCUCACCAAGGCAACGAUACAUAGCCGAACUGGGAAGGGGAUCGGCCAAACCGGGACUUGGACGCGGGCAAGACUCCUGCGGGAGGCAGCAGUGGGGAAUCUUUGGCAAGGGGGGGAACCCUGGCCGGGCAACGCCGGGUGAUUGAAGAAAGUUUUCGGAUCGUAAAGCUCGGUUGUUGAGGAAGCGGUACUUGGCCAGAAAUGGACGGCUAACUACGUGCCAGCAGCCGCGGUAAUUC
rnacentral:rRNA from 1 species